rnacentral:lncRNA from 1 species
ACCUUUUUACUCUUGGUGCAAAUUUUAAUUCCUUGUGGGUCUACUUAAGUAUUUUUUAUAGGUAAGAUGGGUUCUAAUUUAAAUUUUUUAUUUUCUCGAGAUAUUCACUAAUUGCAAGUAAUGUUUUUCAACUCUAGCUCCUGGUCAAAUAUUUACUUAAAACGUUGAUCCUUUUGGGACUAAACAAUAAAAUUUUGGUCCCACAAUAUGAUCUUAUUGUCACCAAUUUUAUUAUUAUUUUUCUCUCUGUCAGUUCAAUAGAAAGCUUUUUUUGUUCCCCUAAAGCAGCCGUUGCAAACAUAGACCAAUUAAUCAACCAUUUUUUCCAAAAGAAGAUUGUGAUCUUAUAUUUUAGUAAAUUAAUUUCAAUCACAAUUUCAUAAGGUCGACAACUUUUCAAUUACACAUUUCAUCUAUUUUUAUCAAAUUUAUUAAAAAUUUAAUUUUAAUUCCCACCAAACAAGGGCCAAAUAAGACCAAUUGAAAAUAAGUCCAUUAUUACUUAUAGAGUCACCACUUGAAGGUAUGAACAUUCUGUAAUACAUUUUUAAGAAAAAUAAAUUACAAGUUUAAAUUUUGGGACUUGGGAUAUGCUGCUACAAAUUUGUUGUCUCGUUGUCUGUCAUUUUCAAUAUAUUUAGUACAUCACAUUUUUUGAUAAAUGAGAAAAUGUUAAUGUGUUGUGUCAAAAAUGUGUUAGGAUUAUUUUAUUUUUUAUUUUUUAAAGAAUAAUUGAGAUACUCGAGUGUCAAAAAUAUAUUGG